rnacentral:rRNA from 1 species
AACGAACGCUGGCGGCAGGCCUAAAACAUGCAAGUCGAACGGGUGUAGCAAUACAUCAGUGGCGCACGGGUGAGUAACGCGUGGGAACGUGCCCUUCAGUACGGGACAACGUCGGGAAACUGACGCUAAUACCGUAUAAUGACUCCGGUCCAAAGAUUUAUCGCUGAAGGAGCGGCCCGCGUCUGAUUAGCUAGUUGGUGAGGUAAUGGCUCACCAAGGCUACGAUCAGUAGCAGGUCUGAGAGGAUGAUCUGCCACACUGGGACUGAGACACGGCCCAGACUCCUACGGGAGGCAGCAGUUAGGAAUAUUGGACAAUGGGCGAAAGCCUGAUCCAGCCAUGCCGCGUGUGUGAUGAAGGCCCUAGGGUUGUAAAGCACUUUCGUUGGGUAGUGG